CCAUCUUACUUAGACAGUGAAAGAAUCACACAUAAAUAACAGUCUUUGCCACCUUGUGUCGCAUAAUCUAAAUCAAUAUUAGGGAAUAAUUAAAAUGUUCUAAUUUUCCCUAAUAUAUCUCGGUUCGCCUUCAUAGCUGAACCUGGUAGCGCUGUAGCUAAUAUUAGCUGGCAUUUUGCCGGUGGACUUAAAUACAGUUUAGUUUAGUUUAGGGUUAGUAAUAUUUUAUUCACAAAAUAUAAACAGUCCAUCUUACUUGUGAAAACUUUAACCCCAGAAAUCUCACGACAAUAGUUCGUCGAUAUGAACAAAAAUAUCCGGUGGUGCUGAAGCUUCUGCUGCUGUUUUAGUUUAGCCAAGUAGGAGGGCGACCUCUCCAAGAUGGCCGCCGUUUCCUGCACCAGAGCAGCCAAUGCGGCGUCUACUCUUAUAUAGGUUAGCUUCGUUCCUUAUAUUAUGUCUAUGAUCAGUAGCACACAGCUGCUGUACUACGGAGCAGAAAGCUGACGUUGUUGUUUCUCUCUACAUCCAGUGGGUGGCGCAUGUCGCUACAAUUGAGAGUAGCCACACAGGCACCACCCCUUGAAGGAAACAAACACACCCAGUACAACACUUUCAUUCUAUUGGCUGAGAAGUUGCCAGGCAACUGUGCCAAAAAGCGUUUUCAAAAGCGAACAGAGAGUCUGAGCAGAGACUACGUGUGAGCACCAGGAGAGGUUUUGAGAACAAACGACAUGAGAUCCUGCUUUCAGACCGAAAAUGUGUG